rnacentral:lncRNA from 1 species
AUUUGGCGAGAGACGACAUAGUGCAGUGCCAUACCACACUUAGGACCGGGCUUGAAAUCAAUAAAGUGCCCAAAACAACCCCCUAAAAAUCUAUCAAGCAACGGUUGCCCACCUGCAUCAAGCAAUGCCUUUUUAACAAUGGCCAAAUAAUCUAUCCUAUAGUACGUGCUAACAUUCGAGUGAACAUUGAUCGUACUAGGCCUCACAAAAUCAGGAGCCACCUGUAAUUAAAAGAAAUAUAUUAUAUGACACAUUAGAUAAUAGUUUAUUACUUCAACUAACAUUCAUUAGAAAAUGAGUAAAUAAAAUUACGAUACAAAGAUCCAAAGAGAGAAUGAGCUAUCAUUAUUAAAGUUCAACAUAUAUAUACAUAGGACAGGGGCCAUUAUAAGUUCAAAAUUCUACUCAAGUGGGUACAUUCUCUUCUUUUUUUAAAUUUCUUUGUGAAAUAUGCAAAGUAUCCACAAUUAAUAUUACCACUUCAAUCUGCAAAGUUCAAAAAAUAGUAGAAUUAUAUAAUAUUGGCACAAAUUUUGCACUUCAUCUUUUGAACUUUUCUUAGUAUACAUAAUCAUUAGUCACAAUUGAUUUCUUUUUAGCAAUCUUUCAUAAAAUUGACAACUUAUGAGCAUUUUAUUCCAUCACCAUAAAAUUGACUCUCGACCACAAGUUAUCCUACUCUCACAAGCUGCCACAUAUCUCCCUUCGCAUGCAAACAUCCCUAAUAUGCCACCACGCACUUCUCUUCAAUCUCAUACCUAUUUAACUUUUAAUCCCCCUCUAUCUCUUUGUCAUCUAACUCCAAAUUAACCCCAACCCUUCUCUCUCAUGCGUGUGGAGUAAUCACGCAAAUGCGUGUGGCGACUACAAAGAAAUGAGCAAUCCCAGCUCUCCCUACUCCAUCUCAAGUUGAAGAUCUCAUCAUCUAGACUUUAAUUAAUUAGUUUUAUUAACUCUUUUGAUUAAUUAGUACUUUAAAUUUUCAAAUUUGUCGUUAACUAGGACUUUUUUUUUUGCAUGUUGUGAGAUUCUUGUUUUAUCAAGACUUGAUUUGGGUAUUUAUUCCUUGGUUCUGUACUAAAUUGCAUGGUCUUCACAAUCGUCAUGGCCCACUCCACUAAUUAAAUUUUAAUCAAACCCUUAAAGAUAAUGAUGGGCAGCGUUUGCGCCGAGCAGUAACACAAGCAAGAGGUGAAAGCGGAAACUAGAGAUAUUUCACGGAAAUACAAGCAACUAGAGAUAUUACAUCAAAUAUGAUUCAUAAUGUUGGAAAAGGGUAGACUUACAUCUUCAUGUUCAGACAUCUUCACAGUGGUUUCAGAAGGUCGCGCGGCGGAAACUCGAAUUUUUCAUGGCAAGAGGUGAAAGCGGAAACUUAAGCGUGCACGGCGGAAAGUCUGAUGUAGAAGUAAUGUUUUGGCGUGUGCAAGGCGGAAACACAAAGAUAGAGAAACAAAUGAAUUUAAGAACUUUAAGAGAAUUUAUGUUUGGGACACUUGGGUAGAUAAAAUUGUACUUUUAUCUGACACCCCAAAUCUUGAACUGACGUUUUUGUGUAGAUUUUUAAAUAAGAAUAAUAUUUUAAUGGAUAUGGAUAUGUAGUGUAGG